UCCAGGCCCUACGGGGCGCAGCAGGCGCGAAACCUCCGCAAUGUGAGAAAUCGCGACGGGGGGAUCCCAAGUGCCAUUCUUAACGGGAUGGCUUUUCAUUAGUGUAAAGAGCUUUUGGAAUAAGAGCUGGGCAAGACCGGUGCCAGCCGCCGCGGUAACACCGGCAGCUCUAGUGGUAGCAGUUAUUAUUGGGCCUAAAGCGUCCGUAGCCGGUUUAAUAAGUCUCUGGUGAAAUCCUGUAGCUUAACUAUGGGAAUUGCUGGAGAUACUAUUAGACUUGAGAUCGGGAGAGGUUAGAGGUACUCCCAGGGUAGAGGUGAAAUUCUGUAAUCCUGGGAGGACCGCCUGUUGCGAAGGCGUCUAACUGGAACGAUUCUGACGGUGAGGGACGAAAGUUAGGGGCGCGAACCGGAUUAGAUACCCGGGUAGUCCUAACUGUAAACGAUGCGGACUUGGUGUUGGGAUGGCUUUGAGCUGUCUCAGUGCCGAAGGGAAGCUGUUAAGUCCGCCGCCUGGGAAGUAUGGUCGCAAGACUGAAACUUAAAGGAAUUGGCGGGGGAGCACCACAACGCGUGGAGCCUGCGGUUUAAUUGGACUCAACGCCGGU
rnacentral:rRNA from 1 species